rnacentral:rRNA from 1 species
UCCGUAGGUGGCGAGCGUUGUCCGGAUUUACUGGGCGUAAAGGGAGCGUAGGCGGACUUUUAAGUGAGAUGUGAAAUACCCGGGCUCAACUUGGGUGCUGCAUUUCAAACUGGAAGUCUAGAGUGCAGGAGAGGAGAAUGGAAUUCCUAGUGUAGCGGUGAAAUGCGUAGAGAUUAGGAGGAACACCAGUGGCGAAGGCGACUACCUGGCCUGUUCUUGACGCUGAGGCGCGAAAGCUAGGGGAGCAAACGGG